rnacentral:misc_RNA from 1 species
AAGUCGUAACAAGGUUUCCGUAGGUGAACCUGCGGAAGGAUCAUUAUCAAAUAGGCCGGGGGGCAACCCCCAGCGUCUAUAUCCUCUGAUUAUCUACCUCUGUUGCUUUGGCGGAUCGGGCAUCUGCCCCGGCGGUCAGGUGCAAGCCUGCCUGCCGAGCGUCCGUCAGAGACUCAAUUCAACCCUCUUGAACAAUACAGUCUGAAUACAAAAAUAAAUAGCUAAAACUUUCAACAACGGAUCUCUUGGUUCUG